AUGAUGACGGCUGCGAUUCCGGUACGACAGCUAGCGUCGGCCAGUGACGAUUGGGUGGAGCUUGGAGUAGUUGUUCCGUCGGUAACGGUUCUCGCGUGUAAAGAAAAAUAUAUGCACAGAGUGAAUGGAAAGUGUGGAUGGUUGUUAGAACAUGGUUUAAGGAAAUUGGCUAGUGUUUGUGUGGAAACUAGUUCAUGGGUUAAGAGACAGGCUAUGUUGAUGUUUAACUUAAGUUUUGCUAAUGGAAACUGUAUGGAUGUACAAGUUUGA